AAUUGGUAGAGGAGAAAAGAUGAAGG
rnacentral:piRNA from 1 species